GUCUACUUUCACAGAAACCAUCAACGACCACCACAAGUCGUCGGCACGUCGAUGCUGAGUGAAGCAGAGCAAGUUCAAUUUAGCAAACAAUUUGGGGACGCGUGCAAGACCACGUCACCGCCGAAGCCGGAAUCUCAAGGCAGCGCUGCGGACCUGUCAUCCGCGUGCAGUGAAAAUUCAAAGUCCUCACCUGACACCGGAGGACGAGUCCACGUCGCCUUGCGUUGAGUUGAGCAGGAGAGGCUGGAAGGCAGGGCAGGGUUGCCACACGAAGGCUUGGAGAGACGAAGUGGUCAUGCGACAGAUAAAACUUGUAUGUCAAGGCCUAAGUGUUCGUGUUCUGGGGAAAGAGAACGGAAGCGUGUUGCUGCCGCACCGGGGGAAAACAAAAUUGAAUAUCAUUUGGCUGUCAGCUGUUUGCGGAACCAGGAGGAUGAGCAGAGCUCGUCAUCGUCGUGUGACAUCGCAGAUCGUCUCCGUCCGGGCGGUCGCCUCCCACUGACGCGCGUUGACGUACCCGAGCGCUUCGCUCUUUUACGUUCUUGUUGACGGUGUGUGAGCUGGAGCGGGAAGGUUACAAAGUCGUUCACAUUUGGAACGAGUCGACUUCACAUCGAGUUCACGUUUGGCACAACCGACGACGUGACGUCGGCGGUCCC